CCCCUAGAUGUUCUGGGCCGCACGCGCGCUACACUGAACAGUUCAACAAGUCUUAACCUUGGCCGAUAGGUCUGGGUAAUCUUUGAACGCUGUUCGUGAUUGGGAUAGACCUUUGCAAUUAUGGGUCUUCAACGAGGAAUUCCUAGUAAACGCAAGUCAUCAGCUUGCAUUGAUUACGUCCCUGCCCUUUGUACACACCGCCCGUCGCACCUAUCGAUUGAAUGGUCCGGUGAAAUCUCGGGACGGCGGCUUGGUCGCUUGCGUCCGACUGCUGAAACUUGAUUAAACCAUAUCAUUUAGAGGAAGGUGAAGUCGUANCA
rnacentral:rRNA from 1 species